GCGAUUUCUUCCCUCCUGAAUGGUGCUACGACUGCCUUGCCAUCCUUGUACGCAUGGACAAGUACUGGAUAUUCAUCAUGUACGCCAUCACCGCGCCGAUGCUGGUGGUGGUGGUGUCGGAGGUGGCAAAGUGCGACGAUGCAGAGCGAGAGUGGUGUGUGAAGGGCCGUAGCGGCACCCGCCCACGCGAACAAACUCAUACACCAAUGCCAUUGAGGCCCAUGCUUCAAAGACGGCAGUGUGGAUCAGCACCAACGUGAGAUGGCCCAUGCUCAGGAGAGAGAAGCACGUGACACCACGUGCGUCGCCCAUCCUCCCUCUCUGGAAGGUUGAAUACCUACCCGUUAGAGGUUGAUAUGUGCCCACGGAGAAACAGUAAGGAGCCCGAAUCAAGACAUCUCACUUCACACCCCGGCGGCUAUUCUUUGGCUCUUCCCCCCCCCCCCCCCCCGUUUGUUCCUUAUCAGAGAUCUGCUGUUGAGCUUUUCCUUUCGUUUUAUCGGUUUUCUCGACUCUCUGCCUUCCUCCCGUCCCUCAUUCCGCAUGCGCUUGCCCUUUCACUUCUCUCCUCACAGCCAUGGCGGUAAGUUUACGCAUGCAUGCCAGUGUUAGUUUGUUCAGGGUUGUGCACAGCUGCGAGGUGAUUCCUCGCUACGGAGAGUGGGCAAGGGAGAAUGCCAUCACAAACUCCCAGGGAGCGUGGAGCUUUGGAAACCCGCAGCCAAAAAAAAAAAACUAACAUCGAAAGGGAAGGGGUGGGGUCUGGCCCUGUGGUUUAUCCAGACCGCUUCUUCUCCCCCUCAACCCCUUUUGACGCCGAGUCAUCCUCACGGACCCCCGCGUCCUCCUCCCAAAAAAAAACCUGUAUCCAGCGCGUUUCGCCGCUUCACGCCCGUUGCACCACCUCGCUGCGAUUCUCGCCUUUCCUUUUCUUUUUUCACGGGGAUGGGGAGGGCAGCCGCGGGCCGGAGAGCAACAGUGUGUAGAGCAGUGCUUGCUCUUCUUCCUCCUUCCCCCGCUAUAUAUAUAUAUAUAUAUGUAUCGUUUCUUUUGGUUUCCGUGCUGCUCCUCUGUUGUGCUCCUUGUUUGUGCACGUUUUUUUUUUUGUUGUUGACGUUGACGUUGAUGUUGCUCAGCAACGACGGUGACAUUCAGGUGGCACUGUUUUAUGAAGUGCAACAACGCACCGGCGUUGUGUUUCAGAAUGAAUAUAGUUUUACUGAGCCCUUGUUGUAUUGUCGUCGCCGUUGUUGUGGGACUUUCUUUCACGUUUUUGGUUUGCUCUUCGCGUUGAACGGAGAUUUCGUAUCCUUCUUGGGCGUGUGCUUGCGUGUACGCAUGUGCGCCGUUCAUGACCUUUGCUUGCUUGCUUGCUGGUCUUCUCCAUGCUUUCAUGAUGAGGACUUCUCUCUAACACAUAUGCGCAUGCUUAUACAUGGAUAUCGCCAUCGGCUGCCUUAUUUUUUCUGUCUUCCUCUUUCACUUUGGUGGGUCUAUUCUGUCAGAUCACUCGAUG
rnacentral:misc_RNA from 1 species